CCCCCGCCCCCAAAGUCUGUGUCUGAGAAAACACAGAUUUCUGUACAGAAUCUGUCUGUAUGCCAUAAGCCUAACAAAUGGGCAGCCGUCCCCUACUACAGUGUUUCAGGGCCGGCGGCUUCUGGGUUAGAAUCUUGUUGCUCUGGUGCGUGGAGGGGAAGGGGAAUUCUCACUUCACGGAGGAAAGCCCGAGAGCUGCUCCAGCCUUGCAGGCAGUCGCACCUGGCUGUCGGAGCGGCGGCCGCGGGAGGACUGCUGCCCUGGCAGUCGGCUUCUUCGGGAGUUUCUCCUCUGGGGUUGGGGGUUUGCCUUGUCUGCUUUUCAGCUCUUCUAGACAUUGGAAAUUCCAGUUUGUGUUUAUUUUCUCUGGAUUCCUUCCCACAAGACAGAAGUGAAUUCAGCAUGGAUUAUUGGGGAGAGCUUUGGCUGGAAAUAAGGAUAAUUGCAGUGUCUGGCUGUGCCACAGAUUUACUGAUGAUUUCUUUUUAAGUUAUUCACCUGCACUGUAUCUGUUUCCUCAGCUGUAAAAUAUGGGUAAUUACCUCCAUUGUAAAAUGUUAUGGGGUCUGCUGGUAAUUAUAUGAAUGAAGUGCUAAUUACAGUGAUUAUUACUUGGACCUAGUCUAGAUCUGGGUGAUGUUCCUGUUGUGAUGAACAUAUGAAACAAA